rnacentral:rRNA from 1 species
UUGGAGGGCAAGUCUGGUGCCAGCAGCCGCGGUAAUUCCAGCUCCAAUAGCGUAUAUUAAAGUUGUUGCAGUUAAAAAGCUCGUAGUUGAAUUUCGGAGUUCUACCGUUGGUCGGGCUUUGUCUGUACUGGUGUGUAGAAUUUCUACCUUCUGGAGAACCAUCAUGCUAUUAAUUUAGCGUGGUGGGAAACCAGGACCCUUACCUUGAAAAAAUUAGUGUGUUCAAAGCAGGCUUAUGUCUGAAUACAUUAGCGUGGAAUAAUAGAAUAGGACGGUGGUCCUGUUUUGUUGGUUUCUGAAUCACCGUAAUGAUUAAUAGGGAUAGUUGGGGGCAUUAGUAUUCAAUUGUCAGAGGUGAAAUUCUUGGAUUUAUUGAAGACUAACUUCUGCGAAAGCAUUUGCCAAGGAUGUUUUCAUUAAUCAAGAACGAAAGUUAGGGGAUCGAAGACGAUCAGAUACCGUCGUAGUCUUAACCAUAAACUAUGCCGACUAGGGAUCGGACGAUGUUAAUUUUUCUUGACUCGUUCGGCGCCUUACGGGAAAC